rnacentral:ncRNA from 1 species
GGUGCCUGCAGAAUGCUUUUUUUGCAGGGUAAAAGGGAAACAGGUGAAAAUCCUGUACGAUCUCGUCACUGUAAGCAGGGAGUGGGAGAGUGAAGUAUAUCCACUGGGCAACCGGGAAGGGGACUCAACCGCAUAGAUCUGUAAGCCAGGAAACCUGCCUGUUGU